CCUACGGGAGGCAGCAGUGGGGAAUAUUGCACAAUGGGGGAAACCCUGAUGCAGCGACGCCGCGUGUGUGAAGAAGUAUUUCGGUAUGUAAAGCUCUGUCAGCAGGGAAGAAAAUGACGGUACUUGUCCAUGUAGCCCCGGCUAACUACGUGAAAGCAGCCGCGGUAUAACGUAGGGGGCACGCGUUCUCCGGAUUUACUGGGUGUAAAGGGAGCGUAGACGGCAGGGCAAGUCAGGAGUGAAAGGCGGGGGCUCAACCCCCGGAAUGAUCUGGAAACUGGCAGGCUGGAGUGCAGGAGAGGGAAGUGGAAUUCCUGGUGUAGCGGUGAAAUGCGUAGAUAUUAGGAGGAACACCAGUGGCGAAGGCGGCUUACUGGACUGAAACUGACGUUGAGGCUCGAAAGCGUGGGGAGCAAACAGGAUUAGAUACCCUAGUAGUC
rnacentral:rRNA from 1 species